GAUGAACGCUGGCGGCGUGCCUAAUACAUGCAAGUCGAGCGAACAGACGAGGAGCUUGCUCCUCUGACGUUAGCGGCGGACGGGUGAGUAACACGUGGAUAACCUACCUAUAAGACUGGGAUAACUUCGGGAAGCCGGAGCUAAUACCGGAUAAUAUAUUGAACCGCAUGGUUCAAUAGCGAAAGACGGUUUUGCUGUCACUUAUAGAUGGAUCCGCGCCGCAUUAGCUAGUUGGUAAGGUAACGGCUUACCAAGGCAACGAUGCGUAGCCGACCUGAGAGGGUGAUCGGCCACACUGGAACUGAGACACGGUCCAGACUCCUACGGGAGGCAGCAGUAGGGAAUCUUCCGCAAUGGGCGAAAGCCUGACGGAGCAACGCCGCGUGAGUGAUGAAGGUCUUCGGAUCGUAAAACUCUGUUAUUAGGGAAGAACAAAUGUGUAAGUAACUAUGCACGUCUUGACGGUACCUAAUCAGAAAGCCACGGCUAACUACGUG
rnacentral:rRNA from 1 species